rnacentral:rRNA from 1 species
UACGUAGGGGGCAAGCGUUAUCCGGAAUUACUGGGUGUAAAGGGAGCGUAGACGGUAAUGUAAGUCUGGAGUGAAAGGCGGGGGCCCAACCCCCGGACUGCUCUGGAAACUAUGUUACUAGAGUGCAGGAGAGGUAAGCGGAAUUCCUAGUGUAGCGGUGAAAUGCGUAGAUAUACGGAGGAACACCAGUGGCGAAGGCGGAUUGCUGGACAGUAACUGACGCUGAGGCGCGAAAGCGUGGGGAGCAAACAGG